AAUCCCGUGAACCAUCGAGUCUUUGAACGCAAGUUGCGCCCCAAGCCUUCUGGCCGAGGGCACGUCUGCCUGCGUGUCACAAAUCGUCGUCCCCAUCCUUUGCGGAUAAGGGACGGAAGUUGGUCUCCCGUGUGUUACCGCACGCGGUUGGCCUAAAUCUGAG
rnacentral:rRNA from 1 species